rnacentral:rRNA from 1 species
GAUGAACGCUGGCGGCGUGCCUAAUACAUGCAAGUCGAGCGAACGGACGAGAAGCUUGCUUCUCUGAUGUUAGCGGCGGACGGGUGAGUAACACGUGGAUAACCUACCUAUAAGACUGGGAUAACUUCGGGAAACCGGAGCUAAUACCGGAUAAUAUUUUGAACCGCAUGGUUCAAAAGUGAAAGACGGUCUUGCUGUCACUUAUAGAUGGAUCCGCGCUGCAUUAGCUAGUUGGUAAGGUAACGGCUUACCAAGGCAACGAUGCAUAGCCGACCUGAGAGAGUGAUCGGCCACACUGGAACUGAGCCACGGUCCAGCCUCCUAAGGGAGGCAGCAGUAGGGAAUCUUCCGCAAUGGGCGAAAGCCUGACGGAGCAACGCCGCGUGAGUGAUGAAGGUCUUCGGAUCGUAAAACUCUGUUAUUAGGGAAGAACAUAUGUGUAAGUAACUGUGCACAUCUUGACGGUAACUACUCAGAAAGCCACGGCUAACUACGUG